ACAACAUUGAAUAUGUAUACAAAUGCUUAUAACCAUGUACACACAAUGUAAAGUACUUGAGAACAAACCUAUAGACUUUCGUGUUCUAUACUUCACUUGAGAACAAGUUACAGCAGUUUGGUUAGGAUGCACCCAAAAGAAAUGCAAGUCAUUUGGCCCAAC